ACUCAAAUAAUUCUAGCCCGAUAGCAAGAAUAAAUUGGCCCCUUCACUUUCGUAACGAAAAGCUUCCAUCCUUUCUAGGGUUCAUCUGUGCCAUGAUGCAAUGCCGACCACCCUCUAUUCGAAGCUGCCGCCUCUAAUUAAUCGUUUGACAUUCUUGCUACUGGUUCUCACAAUCUAACACCAUUACAUAAUCCAGUGCAUCCAAUCGUCGUGAUUAAGCCUCUCAAGUCGUCACCGUAGAGUAUCGCGUUUUUUCGAGCGGGAAGAGAGCUUUGCGGCGUAGUUUGUCAAACACUUCAUCGUCACUGAGAAGGAAUAUGACAGAGGAGAGAGAUGAAAAGGCCGGUGAUUGCUUUUCUGAUGAUCGUAAAAGAUGCGCUUGGAUCGCUCCGAAAUCUGACCAAUCUUGCAUUGCUUUCCAUAAUGAAGAGUGGGGAGUUCCUGUCCAUGAUGACAAGUACGUGAUGAUAUAUCUUUUACUGAUUAUUUUUGAUUUGUCUGGGAGAUGCUAUUUGUUUAUUAUAAACGCUCUUAUUUGUCAAACUGCUUACAUGAAAAUUUCCGAGUUAUUAAGCCUCCCUGUUGUUCUCCCGGAACUAUCCUGGAAAUACAUUCGUUUCAAAAGGCAAUCAUUCAGGAAAAUUUUCAAGGAGUUUGAUUCAAUUCCUACAUCUGAACUAACAAACAAAAAAAGAGAACACCCCCUCAGACGUUGCUACCACCCCCAUUACUAUCCAUGAUCCAAGGCUUAAUGGUUUAAACACAGUUAUAGAGUUGCAUAUUCCCAUCAUUUUGGCUUCCCACAGGAGAAUCUAUUUGGUAACAUCGUCUGGAAAACAUAGAGUUCUUUCUUUACAUGCACCUAAAACAAACAGAUAUGAAAGGAGUGUUCAGAAAAAUGUCCAGAUUAAUACAGAGUUAGCCAGAAGACUUUGAACGCACAUGAGGCAGAAGCAGCUGCAGAACAGGCAGUUUCAAAGGUAGAAGCUGCCAUGACAGCGGCUGAAGAAGCUGCAAAGGAAGCAGAUGCAGCAGAAGCUGCUCGAGCUUAUGCCGAAGAAGCUUCAAAGACACUGAAAGGAAAAAAACAUCUGCAAAGUGAUGGUUUGUACGUGAGGUGACAUAGAAGAAUAAGAAGCUAAAUGUGUUACAGGUGAUGAGAGAGAGAGAAGCGCAGAAGUAGUGUUUGUUGUUGAAGAUUUUCGACUUAGAAACUCUUUUUAGUUAUUUCGUGACAAAAAAAAUUCUUUUUAGUUGUAAAGCAGUAAAUCUCAGAUGCUAAAGCCAUUGUAUUAUUGUUCACACUUUA